GACUGGUCCGAUGGUAGUGAGUUAUCAGAACUUAUUAACAUUAGUGUCACUAAAGAUGGUAUACAAACCCCCACUGCUAAAUUUGAUUGGCUUAA
rnacentral:Y_RNA from 1 species